GACGAACGCUGGCGGCGUGCUUAACACAUGCAAGUCGAACGGAAAGGCCCUGCUUUUGUGGGGUGCUCGAGUGGCGAACGGGUGAGUAACACGUGAGUAACCUGCCCUUGACUUUGGGAUAACUUCAGGAAACUGGGGCUAAUACCGGAUAGGAGCUCCUGCUGCAUGGUGGGGGUUGGAAAGUUUCGGCGGUUGGGGAUGGACUCGCGGCUUAUCAGCUUGUUGGUGGGGUAGUGGCUUACCAAGGCUUUGACGGGUAGCCGGCCUGGGAGGGUGACCGGCCACAUUGGGACUGAGAUACGGCCCAGACUCCUACGGUAGGCAGCGGUGGGGAAUAUUGCACAGUGGCCGGAAGCGUGAUGCAGCAACGCCGCGUGCGGGAUGACGGCCUACGGGUUGUGAACCGCUUUCGCCUGUGACGAAGCGUGAGUGACGGUAAUGGGUAAAGAAGCACCGGCUAACUACGUG
rnacentral:rRNA from 1 species